GUCUCCGUGGCGCAACGGUAGCGCGUCAGUCUGGAUAUCGGAAGGUUGAUUGUUCAAAUCACGUCGGGGACA
rnacentral:tRNA from 1 species